AUGACGUUCGACAAGGUGGAGGAGCUCCGGCCGGGCACCUACGGCCACAACCUGCAGCUCCGGGUGCUCAGCGCCAAGCCCGUCGUGCUCCACAGGCCGCAGGGCGGCCGGGCCGGCGGCAACAUGCGCAUCGCCGAGUGCAUCGUCGGCGACGACACCGGCGUCGUCGUAUUCACCGCACGCAACGAGCAAGUGGACAUCAUGAAGCCCGGGGCGGUCGUGGAGGCGAGGAAGGCGAGGGUGGACAUGUACAAGGGGUCGAUGCGCCUGGCGGUGGACAAGUGGGGGACGCUCAAGGCUGCUGAGAGCCCCGCGGACUUCAAGGUGAAGGAGGACAACAACGUGUCCUUGGUCGAGUUUGAGCUCAUCACCGUGAUGCAGUGA
rnacentral:rRNA from 1 species